GCAGUCGUGGCCGAGUGGUUAAGGCGAUGGACUAGAAAAUUCAUUGGGGUCUCCCCGCACAGGUUCGAAUCCUGUCGAUUGCG
rnacentral:tRNA from 2 species